GGAGUGGCUGAAGAGGGCCGAGAGUGUUCCGGGACUGGGGAAUCAUCUGUCUGCUGCUCCCUGCACACAAGGGUUUCCAUGACGCCCUGACCUAGUGGCCUACAUUCCGAUAGGUUUUGAAGUUUCAAAAGACAAUAGUAACCACACAGCAUGGAGAAAAGUGCUGGGAAAGGCACCAGAGAGUGCAGAGUCCAGCUCAGGAUACACCGGAAUCUACCAUAUGUAAAUUUUGCUGCUGCUGUCUCUUUGGAUUUGGGCCAUUUUUAAGAGGUGUAACACUCACUGUGAAGUUCUGUAGCUCCAUUCUUCAAGUUAGCGAGACCACGAACCUGCCGGAAGGAACCAACUCCGGACAUAGCAGAUCAAGAAGGCAGUCAGAAGUGGGCAAAAAAACUUUUUAUGGUUCACUGAGGACAAUCAACUCCUUCACAAUCUAGAACCCGAAGAUUGGAUCCUCUGAGACAUCAGAGAAAGAUUGCUUUAGCCAUCCUCACUGCAGUAAAACUUCAGGACCUCGAGCCUUGGGUUCAUAAUCUCACAACUGAGAAGGGUCCCUCCACACUGUUGAACUGUACACCCAUUGGAACCCUUAAGGUAAAGCUAACCAGGGAAGUUUCUCCCUAAGAAGAAGAUGGCAUCCUUGAUGCAAAAAGCUUUUCCCAACAUCACAGAUCAAGACUUCUAUUAUCAUGAGACUCUUAUCUUUGAAUACUUUUCCCCUUGCUUAUGCCUGUAUGAACAAUACAAGUGGAAAAGGGGUCUGUUGUGUGCACUCAUGGGGUAUACUUUUAGUUAUGAAGGAUUUUGCAGCCAGCCUUAUACAUGGAUAACCUUAUAUCUUGACAGAUGAAAGAUGAAGGCCCGAUGUAGGUGAGAAACAGAAACUUUAAUGGUACACACUUUGCCUCGUAAUCAGUCAGAAACAGAGCAUUGGUUCACUCCUCUUAACCCACAUCAUGGGUUAAAGAGAACAUUACCAGGAGAGCUUCACUCUUCUAGAAGGGCAUCAUUUGUUAGGUCCUUUUU
rnacentral:lncRNA from 1 species